rnacentral:rRNA from 1 species
CCUACGUGCGGCAGCAGUGGGGAAUAUUGGACAAUGGGCGAAAGCCUGAUCCAGCCAUGCCGCGUGUGUGAAGAAGGCCUUCGGGUUGUAAAGCACUUUCAGUGGGGAAGAAAGCCUUGGGGCUAAUACCCUCGAGGAAGGACAUCACCCACAGAAGAAGCACCGGCUAACUCCGUGCCAGCAGCCGCGGUAAUACGGAGGGUGCGAGCGUUAAUCGGAAUUACUGGGCGUAAAGCGCGCGUAGGCGGUCUGAUAAGCCGGUUGUGAAAGCCCGGGCUCAACCUGGGAACGGCAUCCGGAACUGUCAGGCUAGAGUGCAGGAGAGGAAGGUAGAAUUCCCGGUGUAGCGGUGAAAUGCGUAGAGAUCGGGAGGAAUACCAGUGGCGAAGGCGGCCUUCUGGACUGACACUGACGCUGAGGUGCGAAAGCGUGGGUAGCAAACAGGAUUAGAUACCCCGGUAGUC